ensembl:piRNA 21ur-3394 ncRNA
UUACCUUGUUAUGAUCGAAGA